AAUGGAAUUCUUUACAACCUUCAGCCUGGACACCAGUGUUGUGAGGAGAAGUAUAUCCCUUCUGUCAUGAAUUCAGCUGGCAUUUGUUGUGGUGGUCAAAUACAAGAGUCCCCAAGUGGAUCAUCAGUGCCAUUACGAGUACUACUCAAUAGUUCUACCAGGUGAAGUCUGCUGUCCAGAUGAGCCUCACCACCAGGGAACCGCCGGCCCGGGUGACACCUGCUGCCGCCGGAUGCCCUGCUCCCGCCUGGGACACUGGCUCUUCUGCAGCAGGAGGCUCCAGGAUGGCCAGGCCUGGCCACACUGCGGUGGGCAGAUGGUGACCCAGGACGUGGAGUGCUGUGGUGGUGCGGAGGAUGGCGUGCUGCACAGGCGUCUGCCAGAUAAGCUUACAAGCGGGAAGCCACAGCUGCAGCGGCAGCGGCGCUAGUGAAGAUUACCUUGCGCAGACACCACAUCACGGUCAUUGGACUUCAUUCCAUCUACAUUGCUGGGCCUCCCCAGGAACCUGUGUCACUGACGUGCCCGUGGAGUAGACUGUCCUGCUGAAGCCUGGCAGUGUGACCCCUCUGUCCUUUCCCGUGGGGGCAUCAGUCCUCCCGUCUGGAAGAUUUGGCUCUGUUCACAGAGGAUGAGAUAAGGAUUCAAGCUUGUAAGGACGUCCUGCUGGCCUGGAGGAGGCCUUCCUGCUGUCGGUCUGGUCAGAAGGAUCCCUGGAGCUCAGGGACAAGUUUCUAUGGCCCUUCUUGCUCGGUGAGUGCCGGCUCAGAGCUC